AACGAACGCUGGCGGCAGGCCUAACACAUGCAAGUCGAGCGCUCUCUUCGGAGGGAGCGGCGGACGGGUGAGUAACGCGUGGGAACGUACCCUUCUCUACGGAAUAGCCUCGGGAAACUGAGAGUAAUACCGUAUACGCCCUUAGGGGGAAAGAUUUAUCGGAGAAGGAUCGGCCCGCGUUGGAUUAGGUAGUUGGUGGGGUAAUGGCCUACCAAGC
rnacentral:rRNA from 1 species